UGAAGUGGACUUGAUUUUCCACUUCUUAGGUAAGUUGUGGAAUUUACAUAUGGGGUAAUUUGAAUGGUUGAAACUAUUUAGAAAGAUGUUGAUUUUAUGAUUGAUUAUGUUUAGGAUUUGAUUCAUUGGAUUUAGUAGAUUGAAGAACUUGCAUAAAAGUGAGGUAAGGGAUUUUAUUUUCUACUGGACUCACCUAUGCUUUUGAAUUGUAAUGUUAGUCACCUCUGAUUGAGUAAAUGUGUUGAGACAAUAUAUAUAUACGUAUGGAUGUAGGUUCGGUGUUGAAUGUAUACUGUGGAUGACUGAAAAUAUAUAUAUACACAUGGAUUGAAGUAGACUUGAUGUUGAAUGCAUAUUGUGAUUGUCUUGGAAUAUAUAUAUAUGUGUGGAUGUAGACAGGACGACAAUUGUAGAUUGUGUUUGUAUGAGAUGCGGAUGUGAACUUGUGAUUGUCGUUUAGACUGGGUGUACGUUAUACUAAAGUAUGACUGUGUGCUGGUGAACUGAGAGGCGUUAUGACUAUAUAGUUUGAUUGACUGACGUAUUAGUAUGUUACUGACAGACAUUGGGCUAAAGUGAGAUAAGUUGACUGUUAGAACGUUGAGUGAAAGAACUUUAUAUUUUGAAGUAACUGAAAGAUGGUACGAAUGGAUUGAGGGGAAAAAUUGUUAGCUUUUAUUGGGAUGUUGCUUUGUAGGUGUCCCACGGGAUCACCAAUUAUUCUGCACCUUCGGGAGCAUUAGACUGAUAUGUGUUUCUGCAGAACACUACACUGAAAUGUACGUCCCUCGAGGCGUUAGACUGAAAUGUGCAUCCUACGGGAUCACAAGACUGCGACUGUACAGGGUGUCCCAAUAGAAUGUUAACAAUUUAUUUUUCCCUGACGGGACCAGUAGAGGGUCUCUUACUGGGUAUUUUUAUACUCACCCUUCUUAUGUUUAAUUUUCAGGCAAAGGUAAUAAAGGCGGCAAACCGGCGAGGGGCAGGAAGGAAGCGUGAUUGCCAUAGGAAAUGUGUUAUUUUGCUUCCGCUUAUUGUUUUUUUUUAGGUUUAAGACGUUGUAUUGAAACUUAGCUUACAAACUUUUAUUUGUAAAUAGUACUUUUUUUAAGUUUUUGGAAUAUUUGAAAAUCAGGCCUGACUUAAAGUUGUUUUUCAAUUGGCUUACAUUUCAUUUUGUAUCAACCAAAGUCUUUUGUCAAAAAUUAACGACCUCGACUUACCUAGAAAAGUUGGGUCGUUACAGUUGGUAUCAGAGCCUAAGUUUUAGGUUCUGUAGACUGACUUACGAUGUAAGUCUAUGUUUUAUGUCCCUAUGGCUAACGCGACCCUUCGUCUCUCGUCAGGUAUGCUUUAUGCUUAUAUGUAUGGUUUAUUUGCAUGAGUUUGCCUAAAUUAAACUAGAUUGCAUGACGAUAAAGACUUCUUAUGCUUAUGAUUAAGACUUUUUAAAGAGUGUUGUUGGUGGAUAAUAGGAAUUAUGCCGCCAAAGAGAGGUGUACGUAGAGGAGGUCGUAGAGGCGGGGUAGAGGAGCAGGUCGUAAUCAACCUACUGAGGGUCAAGCUGAAUAGCGAAUUCCUACUGCACCCGUGACUCAUGUUGAGUUUGCUGCACUGUCUGCUCACAUGGAGCAGAGGUUCACGGAGCUUAUGACGGCUAUAGCUAGAACCAGCAGGCACCUGCAGUUCCACCUGCACCUGUGGUUCCCCCUGUACCAGCAGCUCCACCUGCACCAGCAGCCCCUCCUGCGCAAGGAUUGGCUGCACAACAGCCGCAGACAUUACCGAACCAACUUUCUGCUGAGGCGAAACAUUUGAGGGACUUUAGGAAAUAUGACCCUCAGACGUUUGAUGGGUCACUGGAGGAUCCUACUAAAGCUGAGUUGUGGUUGUCCUCUGUGGAAACCAUAUUUAAUUACAUGAGAUGUCCAGAGGAGCAUAGAGUUCAGUGUGCUGCUUUUCUUCUGAGGGACAGAGGUAUUAUCUGGUGGAGAACUACGAUGCGUAUGCUAGGUGGAGAUGUGAGACAGAUUACCUGGGAUCAGUUUAAAGACUGCUUCUAUACCAAGUUUUUCUCGGCUAACCUUAGAGACGCCAAAAGCCAGGAAUUCUUGGAAUUGAAGCAAGGACAUAUGACAGUCGAGGAGUACGACCAGGAGUUUGAUAUGCUGUCGCGUUUUGCCCCUGAACUUGUUGGUAAUGAGCAGGCUAGAGCUGAUAGGUUCGUCAAAGGAUUGAGAGAUGAGAUUAGAGGCUUUGUGCGAGCACUAAAGCCCACUACCCAGGCUGAAGCGCUGCGCCUGGCAGUGGAUAUGAGCAUUGGGAAGGAUGAAAUUCGGGCAAGGAGUUUUGAUAAGGGAUCGUCGUCUGGUCAAAAGAGGAAAGCAGAGCAGAGAACUGUGGGAAUUCCUCAGAGGAACUUGAGAUUAGGCGAUCCUUUUUGCAGUUUCCAGCAGAGUUCUGGCGGGGCAGGAGACACUACUCGAGAGAAGCCACUAUGCAAUACGUGUGGGAAACACCACCUGGGUCGUUGUUUGAUGGGAACGAGAGUCUGUUAUAAGUGCAAGCAAGAGGGACACAUGGCUGAUCGAUGUCCCUUGAGAUCUACUGGGGCUGGACAGAGCAGUCAGGGAGCGAAACCUCCACAGCGGGGUACAAUCUUUGCCACUAAUAGAUCAUAAGCAGAGAAGGCCUGCACAGUGGUGACAGGUACAUUACCAGUGUUAGGGCAUUUUGCCUUGACCUUGUUUGACUCGGGGUCUUCUCAUUCAUUUAUUUCAUCGCUUUUUGUGACGCAUGCAUGCUUAGAGGUGGAACCCUUAGAUUAUGUUUUGUCAGUGUCUACACCGUCUGGAGAAAUUAUGUUGUCUAAGGAAAAGAUUAAAGCAUGUGAAAUUGAGAUAGCUGGUCGUGUGCUGGACGUAACCUUGUUGGUAUUAGAUAUGCGUGACUUUGAUGUAAUUUUAGGUAUGGAUUGGCUAGCUACUAAUCAUGCUAGUAUUGAUUGCUCUCGUAAAGAGGUUGUGUUCAGUCCCCCUACCGAAUCUAGCUUUAAAUUCAAGGGGUAGGAACAGUAGUACUGCCUAAAGUAAUCUCAGCUAUGAAAGCUAGUAAACUGCUCAACCAGGGUACCUGGAGUAUUUUGGCAAGUGUGGUGGAUACUAGGGAAGAUGAGACUUCCUUAACUUCAGAACCUGUGGUAAGAGAAUACCCAGAUGUGUUUCCAGAAGAUCUUCCAGGACUACCGCCACAUAGAGAGAUUGAUUUUGCCAUUGAGUUGGAGCCAGACACUACUCCCAUUUCUAGAGCCCCUUAUAGGAUGGCUCCUGUCGAGUUGAAAUAACUGAAGGUACAGUUACAGGAGUUGCUUGACAAAGGCUUUAUUCGACCUAGUGUGUCGCCUUGGGGUGCACCAGUAUUGUUUGUGAAGAAGAAGGAUGGGUCGAUGCGUCUUUGCAUUGACUAUAGAGAGUUGAAUAAAGUAACAAUCAAGAACAGAUAUCCUUUACCUAGAAUCGAUGAUUUGUUCGAUCAGUUACAGGGAGCCACGGUGUUCUCUAAGAUUGACUUACGGUCAGGUUAUCACCAGUUGAGGAUUAGAGACCGUGAUAUUCCUAAGACUGCUUUUCGUUCGAGGUACGGACAUUAUGAAUUCAUGGUAAUGUCUUUUGGUUUGACUAAUGCACCUGCAGUAUUUAUGGAUUUGAUGAACAGGGUGUUUAAGGAUUUCUUAGACACUUUUGUGAUAGUCUUCAUUGAUGAUAUUUUGGUUUAUUCCAAGACUGAGGCCGAACAUGAGGAACACUUACAUAAAGUGUUAGAGACUCUUCGAGUCAAUAAACUUUAUGCUAAAUUCUCUAAGUGCGAAUUUUGGUUGAAGCAGGUGGCUUUUCUUGGUCAUGUGGUUUCCAGUGAGGGAGUUUCUGUAGACCCUGCAAAGAUAGAAGCGGUUACCAGUUGGUCUCGACCCUCUACAGUUAGUGAGGUUCGUAGUUUUCUGGGUUUAGCAGGGUACUACCGGAGGUUUGUGGAGGAUUUUUCACGUUUGGCUACUCCCUUGACUCAGUUGACAAGGAAGGGAACUCCGUUUGUUUGGAGUCCAGCUUGCGAGGAUAGUUUUCAGAACCUUAAGCAAAGGUUAGUUACUGCACCGGUCCUUACAGUACCAGAUGGAUCCGGAAGUUUUGUGAUUUACAGUGAUGCUUCCAAGAAAGGACUGGGUUGUGUUUUGAUGCAGAAAGGUAAGGUGGUUGCUUAUGCCUCUCGUCAGUUGAAGAGUCACGAGCAGAACUACCCCACACAUGAUUUGGAGUUGGCAGCAGUGGUUUUUGCAUUGAAGAUAUGGAGACAUUAUUUGUACGGUGAAAAGAUACAAAUCUUUACUGACCAUAAGAGCCUGAAGUACUUCUUCACUCAGAAGGAGUUGAAUAUGAGACAGCGAAGGUGGCUCGAGUUGGUAAAGGAUUAUGACUGUGAGAUAUUGUACCAUCCUGGUAAGGCGAAUGUGGUGGCUGAUGCUCUUAGUAGAAAAGUAUCACAUUCGGCAGCACUCAUUACUAGACAGGUACCAUUACAUCGAGACUUGGAGAGAGCUGAGAUUGUAGUAUCUGUGGGGAGAGUCACCUCACAGUUAGCUCAAUUAACGGUGCAACUGACUCUGAGGCAGAAGAUUGUGUGAUGCUCAGAGUAAUGAUCCUUAUUUGAUGGAGAGACGUCGCCUUGUUGGAACAGAGCAGACUGAUGAGUUCUCCAUAUCCUCUGAUGGUGGAUUGAUGUUUGAGAGACGUUUGUGUGUGCCAGCGAACAGUGCAGCUAAGAUUGACUUACUAGAUGAAGCCCAUAAUUCUUCAUUUUCCAUGCAUCCUGGUAGUACGAAAAUGUAUCAGGAUCUAAAACGAUUUUAUUGGUGGCGGAAUAUGAAAAGGGAAGUGGCGGAAUUCGUUAGUAAGUGUCUAGUAUGUCAGCAGGUUAAGGCACCUAGACAGAAACCAGCAGGUUUGUUACAACCUUUAAGUGUGCCAGAGUGGAAGUGGGAGAAUGUGUCGAUGGAUUUUAUUUCAGGGCUGCCUAAGACCCUGAAGGGUUUCACAGUGAUUUUGGUUGUUGUAGACAGGCUUACGAAAUCGGCACAUUUUGUACCAGGGAAAUCCACUUAUACUGCUAGUAAGUGGGCACAGUUGUAUUUAACUGAGGUUGUGAGACUGCAUGGAGUGCCUGUAUCGAUUGUUUCUGACAGGGAUGCACGUUUACUUCCAAGUUUUGGAAGGGACUUCAGACUGCUAUGGGUACGAGAUUAGAUUUCAGUACAGCCUUUCAUCCACAAACUGAUGGUCAAACUGAACGUUUGAACCAAGUUUUAGAGGAUAUGCUACGAGCUUGUGUUCUAGAGUUUCCAGGUAGUUGGGACUCUCAUCUACAUUUGAUGGAGUUUGCUUAUAACAACAGUUUCCAGGCUACCAUCGGUAUGGCACCAUUUGAGGCUUUGUAUGGUAAAUGUUGUAGAACCCUAUUUGUUGGAGUGAGGUUGGUGAACAGAGGUUGAUGGGACCUAAAUUAGUUCGGUCUACUAAUGAGGCUAUUCAAAAGAUUAGAGCACGUAUGCAAACAGCGCAGAGUAGACAAAAGAGUUAUGCAGAUGUACGGCGAAAAGACCUUAAGUUUGAUGUGGGAGAAAAGGUAUUCUUGAAGGUAGCACCUAUGAAGGGUGUUAUGCGUUUUGAGAAGAAAGGGAAGUUAAGUCCUCGUUUUGUUGGACCAUUUGAGAUCUUAGAGAGGGUUGGUGUUGUGGCGUAUCGCUUGGCAUUACCACCAUCACUCUCUGCAGUCCAUAAUGUUUUCCAUGUUUCGAUGUUGAGGAAGUAUGUGGCCGAUACAUCUCAUGUCGUGGACUAUGAACCCUUGGAGAUUGAUGAGCAUUUGAGCUAUGUAGAACAACCUGUGGAGAUUCUGGCUAGAGAGGUAAAGAUGCUUCGUAAUAGAAGCAUUCCAUUAGUAAAGGUUUUGUGGCGGAAUCAUCGAAUUGAAGAGGCGACAUGGGAGCGAGAAGAAGAGAUGAGGACUCGUUAUCAAGAGUUAUUUCAGGAUUAGAACUUUCGCCUUAAGGAGGAAGAAUGUAACGCCCCAAACUCGAAGGUAUUUUAUUUUAAGAGAGAUUUGUACAAGAUUUAUUGUUUUGAAGAAAAUAUGUUGAAGGGGGGAAAGAAGAUUUGAAAAUGUGAUAAUAUAAUUAUAUAUAUAUUUAUUUAUAUUUUUAGUUUAAAUAAAAGAAAAGAAAAAGAAAUUUUAUUAUAUAUAUUUAUUUAUAUUUUAGUUUUAUUUUUAUUAUUUAAAUAAAAGAAAAGAAAAAAGAAAUUUUCCUUCCUUCUUCCUCCCGUGCGUCCUCCAUCCCUUUCUCCUUCCCGUACCCUAGCAGCCGCACAUCCCUCUCUUCUCCGUUCACCCAGUCGGCCACACAAGCUGCCGGUCGUUUCUUCUUCUUCUUUCCGGUCGUCUUCCUUUUCUCCUUCGGAUCGAAACCGCCGCGCCCAUCCGCUCACAACCACCGUGCCUCUCCGCUCACAACCGUCGUGCCUCCCUCGGAAAGCAAAUCGUCAUCCAGAUCUGCAUCGCCGAGCCGUCCAGGUCCUCGCCGUCGCUUGUGCUUCACCCUUGCAGUUCGCCAUAACCCAGAUCGUCGCUGCAACCGUCGGCCGGUUCGUGAAGUGCCGUACGCGUCACCUUGCAGCAGUCGUCCAGAUCUGCAUCGCCGUGCCCAUUCCUUUCCUCUCCGUUCGUGAAGCCCUGCUGCGCAAUCUCUGUCUCCGUCGAAGCCAAGCCAGCCGCCGCCCGUUCCUUUCUCCUCCGUUUUCUGCACUGCCGCGUGACUCUCCGACCGCGUCUGUCUUCACCUCCGUGAAGCCGUCGACGCAUACAUCUCGUGAAGUCAUACACGGAUCCAAGUCGAUCUCUUCCUAAAUUACGUGUCCCCUAUCAAGUCGACGUUCUUCUGCUCGUUGUAAGACGGAGUUACGAUUUGAAGCCGAUUUUCUUUUCCAGUUGAGUCGCAUUCAGUGUUGCUCUAUUUACAGCCGCUUGAUUCGUUCUUGAUUGUCAUUUUUGCCUCGCCGUGAACCAUUGGGCUCAUAUUUGGGUAAGAACAAGUUAUGGUUUUUGUUGGUUUCUUGGUUUUUGUUGAAUGCUGCCAUUGGAUUUAAUUGUUGGCGAAAUGCUUAAUUCUUGAAGGUACAUCUUGAUUCAGUGAGCGAAUCCUUGAUUUUCCAAAAGGUUGAAGUGGACUUGAUUUUCCACUUCUUGGGUAAGUUGUGGAAUUUACAUAUGGGGUAAUUUGAAUGGUUGAAACUAUUUAGAAAGAUGUUGAUUUUAUGAUUGAUUAUGUUUAGGAUUUGAUUCAUUGGAUUUAGUAGAUUGAAGAACUUGCAUAAAAGUGAGGUAAGGGAUUUUAUUUUCUACUGGACUCACCUAUGCUUUUGAAUUGUAAUGUUAGUCACCUCUGAUUGAGUAAAUGUGUUGAGACAAUAUAUAUAUACGUAUGGAUGUAGGUUCGGUGUUGAAUGUAUACUGUGGAUGACUGAAAAUAUAUAUAUACACAUGGAUUGAAGUAGACUUGAUGUUGAAUGCAUAUUGUGAUUGUCUUGGAAUAUAUAUAUAUGUGUGUGAUGUAGACAGGACGACAAUUGUAGAUUGUGUUUGUAUGAGAUGCGGAUGUGAACUUGUGAUUGUCGUUUAGACUGGGUGUACGUUAUACUAAAGUAUGACUGUGUGCUGGUGAACUGAGAGGCGUUAUGACUAUAUAGUUUGAUUGACUGACGUAUUAGUAUGUUACUGACAGACAUUGGGCUAAAGUGAGAUAAGUUGACUGUUAGAACGUUGAGUGAAAGAACUUUAUAUUUUGAAG
rnacentral:lncRNA from 1 species